rnacentral:rRNA from 1 species
GUGGGGAAUAUUGGACAAUGGGCGCAAGCCUGAUCCAGCCAUGCCGCGUGAGUGAUGAAGGCCCUAGGGUUGUAAAGCUCUUUCACCGGAGAAGAUAAUGACGGUAUCCGGAGAAGAAGCCCCGGCUAACUUCGUGCCAGCAGCCGCGGUAAUACGAAGGGGGCUAGCGUUGUUCGGAAUUACUGGGCGUAAAGCGCACGUAGGCGGACAUUUAAGUCAGGGGUGAAAUCCCGGGGCUCAACCCCGGAACUGCCUUUGAUACUGGGUGUCUGGAGUAUGGAAGAGGUAAGUGGAAUUCCGAGUGUAGAGGUGAAAUUCGUAGAUAUUCGGAGGAACACCAGUGGCGAAGGCGGCUUACUGGUCCAUUACUGACGCUGAGGUGCGAAAGCGUGGGGAGCAAACAGGAUUAGAAACCCGAGUAGUCC